rnacentral:rRNA from 1 species
AUUCAGUUGGGCACUCUAAGGGAACUCCCGGUGAUAAACCGAGAGGAAGGUGGGGAUGACGUCAAGUCCUCUUGGGCCUUCCGGGGUGGGCCACACCCCUUCUACAAUGGUGGUGACAGUUGGCAGAGAGACCGCGAGAUCGAGCUAAUCUCCAAAAGCCAUCUCAGUUCGGAUUGCAGCUCUGCAACUCGAGUGCAGGAAGGUUGGAAUCGCUAGUAAUCGCAGGAUCAGCAUGCCUGCGGUGAAUACGUUCCCGGGCCUUGUACACACCGCCCGUCACACCAUGGGAGUUGGCUUUACCAGAA